AAGGUUAGUCUAAAUUCAUGCAUCGGUUUCCGUGUUUUCUUUCAUUCCCCAUUUCAUUCCUCCCAAUCAAACAUAACAUUAAUUUUCAAACAUAGCAUUAAUGUUAUGUUUAGUUGGAAGAACGGAAAGGGAGAAAUAAAGAAAAUACGGAAAUUGAGGAAGAAAUUUAUACUAACCUU
rnacentral:pre_miRNA from 1 species